GAUUGAACGCUGGCGGCAUGCCUAACACAUGCAAGUCGAACGGGAGUAGCAAUACUCUAGUGGCGGACGGGUGAGGAAUACGUAGGAAUUUGCCCUUAAGUGGGGGAUAACCCGGGGAAACCCGGAUUAAUACCGCAUGAUCUCGAAAGAGCAAAGUGGGGGAUCGCAAGACCUCACGCUUUUGGAGAAGCCUACGUCGGAUUAGCUAGUUGGUGAGGUAAUGGCUCACCAAGGCGACGAUCCGUAACUGGUCUGAGAGGAUGAUCAGUCACACCGGAACUGAGACACGGUCCGGACUCCUACGGGAGGCAGCAGUGGGGAAUAUUGGACAAUGGGCGAAAGCCUGAUCCAGCAAUGCCGCGUGUGUGAAGAAGGCCUUCGGGUUGUAAAGCACUUUAAGUUGGGAAGAAAAAAUUCCACCUAAUACGUGGAGUCUUGACGGUACCGACAGAAUAAGCA
rnacentral:rRNA from 1 species